GGAACCUCCAUUCUUAUCCUCUCCCUGUACGCAUGAGAGAGAGAGGGAAACGGAGAAAAGGGAAAAAGAGAAGAAGAAGAAGAAAGUUAAUGAAAUUGGUGUCGUUUGACGAGCCGAUCGAUCCCCCGCGCGCGUUGGAUUUUUCUGGCGCUUCGACUGCGAAGAACGAAACUUGGGAGAUAACCUAUUGGAACUUUGAAAACCUGAGAUCAGGUUGGUGUGUUAUUUAACAGGAAUUGAGGAUUGAAGUCCUAACGUGAAAUUGACUGCGUACAAACCUAAUUGAGGGUAAAACGAACGCGUUGGCGAAGUCGGUUCGGCAAUCCGUCGAGCCUACGCGAAGAUAUCGCUAAAAGGACAUUUUCGGCAUCAAUUGUCGGGAACGCGGGUCGCGGUUCUUGGAAAAGUGCGAGAAGCGCAUUUCUCGCAAUCCGGUACAAAAUAAAGGUGGGUUGUGCUUUACCGAAGUGAUUAGGUCACUUCCAUGCCAAAGUAGAUCAUGGUUUCAUUUGACGCAUAUAUGAAUAUGAUUGUCGACAUAUGAACAUUAAUGCUAAAUGCAUAUGAGUAGGCAUAUAUGAUUGUAGAC